AUGGAAUUUCCCAAGUAUAAUGAUAAGUGUGUGGAACCAACCAUCUAUCCCUCAACAAGGCUGGUGGACAUAAGGAGUGCCUGUUUGCAGGGAAAGAGAGAGAGAGUUACUGGGAGUAGAAGACAUCCCAUGAAAAAAGGUCUUGUAAUGAGUUGCACUCUGGCUUGCAAGGCUGAGGAUGGAGUAGGGGCUCAAAUAAGUAAUCUGAGACUGGAAGUGUUGUUGGAAAAAAUAUUGCAUCUUUUUCUCGAGUGAGCAUGCAAUCCCGCAUCUACAACCUAAUUUCCUGGACCUCCUCAACUCUGGACUGACUUGGAUCUUUGCUUCGGAAAUAGUUCUUGCCUAGAUAUCUCUGAUGCCUCAUGGGCCUUGUAGUCCUGUGCCUAGUGUCAUUGUGACAGAUGAGGAUGAAAACAUGGGGUUUUCUCCGGAUCAACAGCCAGAACCAGAGUUUUUCCAGCUGCCUGAAGUUCUUGUCCAAGAACCAAUUAAAACUGACCUUGAUCAAUGCUCACCUCCCUUUGCUAGAAAGCAAUCUUUCUCGGCGGAUAGGGGAGCGAGAGAGAGAAUUCGGAGGAGUGCCCGAAUUGCUGCCAAGCAAGACUGAUUAGCCAUGUUUCCCCUGGGAAAAUCCAGGGAGUCUUACACCUGCAAGCUGGGUUUUCGUUCCCUGUUCUCUGGGGAAAGAGAACGCAGGACGCCCAUUUGGCGGGAAACGAGACCCAGAUAAAAGUAUCAAACUCUGUUGAUUCUUUGCGGAGACAACAGUUCAGCUUCGAGAGUGAAUUCCAUGUUCUCAGCCUAGUGCGGACUUUGCUAAGUACGCGUUCCAGUUUCCUUGCCUCGCCUAUCCAAGUAUCCAAGUAUUGCCUUGCUGUAUUCUUAGCCACGGAUUAUGCUCCUUGAAUCAAGUUUUGGACUGCCUACCUUGUUUUGAACCACGGACCUUGUUUCCCAGAUUCAAGCCUUGUUCUCAGCUUCCCUGCGGAUUUACCUUGUGCCUUGAAAGACUUCGGAUCAUUCCCCACACUAUUGCUUGGCAUUAGUGUGUGUUUCGGUUGGAUUUUACCUUUGAACUCUAAUAUCAUUUAUUGGACAAACUAUUUCUGGACUAUUUUAGGCCUCCUUUGGAAGGUCUGUUUCUGGACUAUAUUCUCUACUUGUUUUUAUCCUUCUUAUAUAUUUCC
rnacentral:lncRNA from 11 species